rnacentral:rRNA from 1 species
CCUACGGGGGGCAGCAGUGGGGAAUUUUGCACAAUGGGGGAAACCCUGAUGCAGCAACGCCGCGUGAGUGAUGACGGCCUUCGGGUUGUAAAGCUCUGUCUUCAGGGACGAUAAUGACGGUACCUGAGGAGGAAGCCACGGCUAACUACGUGCCAGCAGCCGCGGUAAUACGGGGGAUGCGAGCGUUAUCCGGCUUUAUUGGGUUAAAAGGGUGCGGAGGCGGAUUUUUAAGUCAGCGGUCAAAUCGUGGGGCUCAACCCCAUCCAGCCGUUGAAAUUGGGGAUCUAGAGUGUGCGAGAGGUAUGCGGAAUGCGUGGUGUAGCGGUGAAAUGCAUAGAUAUCACGCAGAACCCCGAUUGCGAAGGCAGCAUACCGGUGCACAACUGACGCUCAGGCACGAAAGCGUGGGUAUCGAACAGGAUUAGAUACCCGAGUAGUC